UACGUAGGGUGCGAGCGUUGUCCGGAAUUAUUGGGCGUAAAGAGCUCGUAGGCGGUGUGUCGCGUCGGCCGUGAAAACCUGCAGCUUAACUGUGGGCUUGCGGUCGAUACGGGCAUCACUGGAGUUCGGCGGGGGAGACUGGAAUUCCUGGUGUAGCGGUGAAAUGCGCAGAUAUCAGGAGGAACACCGGUGGCGAAGGCGGGUCUCUGGGCCGAUACUGACGCUGAGGAGCGAAAGCGUGGGGAGCGAACAGG
rnacentral:rRNA from 1 species